CCCUGCUCCGCAGCUGAGCGCGCUCGGUCAAGAAUCCUGGGGAACCCGCUCCGCCCCCUGGCUCCCGCACCCUCCAAUGAUCUCGGCCUACAGGGGGCAGUUCCGUCCAAUCAAGUGUCGGAAAGCCCGGCCAGUCCCCAAGAGUGUAGCCAAUGGAACACGACUCCGGCAACACACCCGCCCUGAUCCACUGGGAACAAACCGCUCAGAGACCUGAGGUGGGACCCAGAUCCCGGCGCCCAGAGCAAGUCAAGUCCGGCCGGCCGGAGCUGUGUCACGAAAUGAACCCUGAAAGCCAUAUGUUGAAGUAGCACAAGAUGGAAGGAGGCUGAGUUUCUGGGUCACUGUCAGACUAGAAAGGUUUAUGUGUACUCUUGGAUAAAUAUUGAGCCAUUGCCAUGUAUAAACCACCAUGCUGGGCCCUAUAGGCAAUGCAAAAAGAAUAUGACAGACUGUCUCACAGUGUCUGCCCUCCAGGAUCUUAAAUUUUUGAGAGUGUGCAAGAUAUAACCUUGUAUCUUGGAUAGUUCAGCAAUGGAGUGGAUAUCUUUGAGAUGAACUUCUUGUAACAGGAAAUGUUCAUUCAGAUGCCAGAAGGACAUCAGCCAAAGACACUUAAAUGGAUGCUUUUUAGUGUAGGAGCCUGAACUAGAGUCUGGCUGCCGUUUGCCACCUGGUCCCCCAACCACCUAGUGAGGCUUCCAUGGCUCCAGUGUAUACUUGUGGAGUGAUAGAAUUUUAGAUAUGGAUAGACCCAGGGAAUCUUCUGUUCUCCUCCAGUUUCCAAGAGAGAAAUCUGAAGCAUC